UACGUAGGGGGCAAGCGUUGUCCGGAAUCAUGGGGCGUAAAGAGCGCGUAGGCGGUCCGGUAAGUCCGCUCUGAAAUUCCGGGGCUCAACCCCGGGAGGCGGGCGGAUACUGUCGGGCUAGAGUCCGGAAGAGGCGAGUGGAAUUCCUGGUGUAGCGGUGAAAUGCGCAGAUAUCAGGAGGAACACCAAUGGCGAAGGCAGCUCGCUGGGACGGUACUGACGCUGAGGCGCGAAAGCGUGGGGAGCAAACAGG
rnacentral:rRNA from 1 species